rnacentral:rRNA from 1 species
UUUAAUUGAAGAGUUUGAUCAUGGCUCAGAUUGAACGCUGGCGGCAGGCCUAACACAUGCAAGUCGAGCGGUAACAGAGAGUAGCUUGCUACUUUGCUGACGAGCGGCGGACGGGUGAGUAAUGCUUGGGAAUAUGCCUUUUGGUGGGGGACAACA